rnacentral:tmRNA from 1 species
GGGGAUGAACGGUGUCGACGGGAAAGCACUUUUACAAGAGGUCAGGGCGGAUCUAUCCGUAACUAGAAAACAAAUAGAUGCUAAUGACGAAUUAGAAUCUAUCGAAGCCUUUUAUGGUCGCCAAGCAUAUUCAUAUGCUUACGCUGCCUGACAGAGGCCUUCGACUCUUUUUAAAGUUUUUCUCGGUUUAACUUAAAAAGGGAUAACCAAUCGAGAGAGGGUUUUUAGAUAUUCCUGAUUGAUUUAAAGAUCCUUAAUUUUUAAUCGGCUUCCCGCUAAGUUUUGUUUAUUUUUUAAGCGGGAAAGAGCUAAAAAUAAUCUAUCCCUGACUACACUUUUGUAAUUUAAAGUAUUUUCUCGGACCCGGGUUCAACUCCCGGCAUCUCCACCA